CAUCGUCCCUUUGAUGCGGUGAAGUUGUCCUGUCCCCUUAGCAGAAAAAAAACCCCAAAGCAUAAUGUUUCCACCUCCAUGUUUGACGGUGGGGAUGGUGUUCCAGGGGUCAUAGGCAGCAUUCCUCCUCCUCCAAACACGGCGAGUUGAGUUGAUGCCAAAAAGCUCCAUUUUGGUCUCAUCUGACCUCAACACUUUCACCCAGUUGUCCUCUGAAUCAUUCAGAUGUUCAUUGGCAAACUUCAGACGGGCAUGUAUAUGUGCUUUCUUGAGCAGUGGGUCCUUGCGCGCGCUGCAGGAUUUCAGUCCUUCACGGCGUAGUGUGUUACCAAUUGUUUUCUUGGUGACUAUGGUCCCAGCUGCCUUGAGAUCAUUGACAAGAUCCUCCCGUGUAGUUCUGGGCUGAUUCCUCACUGUUCUCAUGAUCAAUGCAACUCCACGAGGUGAGGUCUUGCAUGGAGCCCCAGGCCGAGGGAGAUUGACAAUAUUCUUUUGUGUUUCUUCCAUUUGCGAAUAAUCGCACCAACUGUUGUCCCCUUCUCACCAAGCUGCUUGGCAAUGGUCUUGUAGCCCAUUCCAGACUUGUGUAGGUCUACAGUCUUGUCCCUGACAUCCUUGGAGAGCUCUUUGGUCUUGGCCAUGAUGGAGAGUUUGGAAUCUGACUGAUUGAUUGCUUCUGUGGACAGGUGUCUUUUAUACAGGUAACAAACUGGUAUGAUAAUAGUAAGUGAAAUUAUCUGGAUUUGUUUAUUGCUAUAAAACAUUAGCUAUCACAUUUUAAUUAUAUACCUGAAAUAAAUCGAAAUAGAUACGUUUUCACCCAGAAGAUGGUUGACUUCGAGGCAGGAGUACGAGUCUGUGUAUUUAUAUACUGGAGAGAAUGUGACCUGUCCCAACAAUUGUGCUGUAUUCAACAUCAAUUGUCUACCAGUGUUUGGCAGAGUUCGUUCCCAUGUUGAUCCUGCUGUUUAUGUAUAAAGAAGCAUAUGAAUCCAUUGACCUGUGUAAUGGACCUGUGAUAUAACAAACUACUCAGUGAAGAUGAAAGAGGACACAUCAGCACAACUAUGAACGACUAUGGCUGGCCCAGGAGAGGAUCAGCAUUAACCUCUGAAAUUGUAUGUUUAAAUCUCUGGGAUUUUGAAAAAUAUAUUAAUUAAUCUGUAGGUAUGCAUUUAAUUAAUAAUAAAUGAUUUAAAGUGGUUAUGUUUUGAUUCAGAGUGGCAUGUCACAUAACCACUUUUGACUAAUGUCAUGGACGCUGAAGAAAUGAGGCAUCUGUUUUAAGUGGAGAAUAAAAGCUUACUUUUCUGUU